rnacentral:rRNA from 1 species
UACGAAGGGGGCUAGCGUUGUUCGGAAUCACUGGGCGUAAAGCGCUCGUAGGCGGAUCUUUAAGUCAGGGGUGAAAUCCCGAGGCUCAACCUCGGAACUGCCUUUGAUACUGGGGAUCUCGAGUCCGGGAGAGGUGAGUGGAACUGCGAGUGUAGAGGUGAAAUUCGUAGAUAUUCGCAAGAACACCAGUGGCGAAGGCGGCUCACUGGACCGGAACUGGACGCUGAGGCGCGAAAGCGUGGGGAGCAAACGGG